AUGUCCCAACAACAGUAUAUGUUUCGAAGGCCAAAAAUGCUUAUUUUCAUUAUUGUACUGUCUAAAGCAUUCUUCAUGGAGAUGAUCAUGCAGAAAUUAUUUUUCCUUUUGAAAAAAUUGGUUUUAGUUGAAAAUAUAUACAUUCUAACUCGCUCAAGUAGUACUAAAACUUGCUCUCGUACAAUGGUCAAUCAUAAAAGGUCGCUUAAUAAAUCAUUUAAAAUUCCGCCAAACUUCUCGAUGAUUAUCUCAGGGUGCUCAAUAUACUACUCCUUCAAGGCAUGCAACCAAAUAGAUAAACGUGUUACAUAG
rnacentral:rRNA from 1 species